UACGUAGGGUGCGAGCGUUUGUCCGGAAUUACUGGGCGUAAAGAGCUCGUAGGUGGUUUGUCGCGUUGUCCGUGAAAACUCACAACUCAAUUGUGGGCGUGCGGGCGAUACGGGCAGACUGGAGUACUGCAGGGGAGACUGGAAUUCCUGGUGUAGCGGUGGAAUGCGCAGAUAUUAGGAAGAACACCGGUGGCGAAGGCGGCCCACUGGCUCGACACUGACGCUGAGACGCGAAAGCGUGGGUAGCAAACAGG
rnacentral:rRNA from 1 species